ensembl:lncRNA
ACAACAGCUCGUUUCCCUUGCUGUCUCCUUUUCCAACGCUCCAUGAUGAGAAUACCACUGACUAUGGAAGGUUGAGGUCUGGGCAGAGGCUUGAUCUGAACACAUCCGGGCAUUUCAGCAGCCGGGCUUCCCUUCCGGUCCCUUUUCCCGUGAACAUCCUGCAGGUGUCUCCGACGGCCAUAGCAAAGUUUCAAUUCCACAUAAUGUAUAAUUAUGGCAACACAAGCAUAAAUUACCAAGGACAAGAAGCUGCAAAGUAAUUAUAUGAUUAUUUGUUACUUUGAAGUUUUCUAUUCUUCUUUUAAGCCAAUAACCAUUAAAAGCAUUCCUUUUGAGGAGGGGUGGGAGAAAGCAGGUGGCACGAGAGGAGCGCCCUGGGCACGUGAGGGGUGCUUCCAGUCAGAGGUGACAUCAGAGGUGAAAAGCCUCCAACCUUGGCGCCUUCUACAGUAACAUCCCCGAUCCCUCUUAUUUCCUCCAACCCCCCCCCCCAAAAAAAAAAAAAAAAGCUCUGCUGCUGCUCCCAGAUGCCUAGUUGGAGAGAUCUGUGAGAAAAGAGUUCAAGGGAAAACAUGAAGAAAUUGACUUGCCUAGGAUACCAGGAUAACAGAAGAGGUAUGGAUCAGGACUCGGAAGUCUUUCAACCUUUAAGUCCCACUGUUUUCUCUCCUAUCUACUGACCCAGAUCCCAAACUGCAAAAUCAAGAGUAGCUAACAAAAGCUCAACGUGUUGGAAUGGACAUGAAUUGUCCUGACCUCAGUAUCACUGACAUCAAUGAGUUGGAUCACAAUCAAUUCUGCUCUACCUCCUUAUCUUUACUCUGUGUGUGGCCAUCUCCCUGCUUCAAAUGUGCUUCUUGUAAGGAAAGUAUUGUAGGAUUCUGGUUUUUAAUUCACUCUUCUAUCAGCUUCCUUUUUAUGGGUCUUAGUUACUCCAAGAUGAUUUGAUGGCCUGUGGGCUAGGAGCUCUGAAAGCCAUCUUCCACUGCUGAUUCAGUCUCCUCCAGGGACUACUGAUAGGUUGCAAGGCUCAGGUCAUCACCCCUGGCUCUGGACCUGACUCUGGACUUGCAAUGACCAGGUAUACCAAGGACUGCUUUGUGCUAGGGCUUUGGGCCUCACUGUAGGCUUGUGCUAGGGCUUCAAGUGGUGUUCAAGUGGUGGGCAUAUUUGGGUGCUCUGUUAUCAGCUUAGGCAGGGUCUCAGGGUCUUGAAGGUGAUUUGGGCUCAGGGUCAGAAUCUGGAGAGUAGAGAUGGGGGAGGGGAGCUUUCUUGCUGUUGGCUUACAUUGGUACUCCUUUGUGUGGCCUUGCUGUGUUCCCCUCUUAAUCCAGUGAAUCAGACCUUCUCUGCCUAAUUUCCAAGUGGUUUUCUGCUUUAUUCCAUUCCCUUGUUGAUUUUGUCACUCCAGUAUUUGUUUUGAAAUACUAUUUUAAAAUUGGUUGAAGAGGAUUCUUAAGAGCGGUUCAAGCCUUCUAUGCCUCUGUUUGCCAGCUUGCCUCUGCCUCUGUGACCUGUUUUUAAUGACCUUAAUCCUUCACUCUGUCCUCAACUAUACCCAGAGCUAGUCAUAGCCUUGAUCUUGCCAUCACUCAAAAGUGUUCUUCUUGUUCUGAAAAAUUAAAUUAUUUCAUCUGAUCAUAACAUUUUAUCAUUCUGUCUUUUCCCAUGCAUUCCAACUUCUAGCUGGGAUCUCUAUUUUCUCAUUCUCAGGUCUUUUGUGGAUCAUGACCCCUAUACUAGCUAUACUUUUCUUUCCCUGUCCUGGUCUUUUCAUAUAUCAGUUCAACUCUACACUAUCCUCCCCUGUUUGAAAUCUCUGACUACCUAU